CAGACGAGGAAGACACUUGCAUGAAAUUUCCAUUGGGGUUAACAGUCAGUGAUUUGGGCCUUGCUCUAUCAGUUGCCAAGCAAUCAGAUCAUUGCCAGCUUUCACCUUCAUCUCCCUUAAAACGCUCACUUUUGGAGUCUUCAUCUUGCUAGGACCUUUGACCUGACCAACAGCUUCACGGGUUCCGAUUGUCAAAGACGUUCUUAUGGUCUUCCUUUUCUGACGACGGCCGACGCUGCUCGUUGUCGACAGUGAGGUCACAUGGGCUCCAAGAAGCCAGACACUUGAUGAUGGCCGCAGAGUUUCAUGGAUGCGUGUUCAAAUUGGUGAGAACGCGAUAGAAUCGACAGAACAUUGCCCGCUUUAUCCUCCCAGAAAGAACUUUCCCCGACCUCUUAAUCAAACAGCCUAGAGUGUACUCCAAACUGGUCAGACUGGUUUAUGAUUCACACACAACGCUUGUCGCAAAUAAUGAACGAAGUUGAUAUGGUAAUCGCUUAAAAAUCUGCUUUCAAUCCCAAAAUAGUGUUUUGUUAAGGAAAAAAAAAAAAAAAACUACACUCCGGAAACGAUGACAUCUAGGAGAAAGCAUGGUCAACUUUACACGCAGUCAGCUUCUUUCCCCAUUGGGCUUCUUGCUGGUGAUGUCCAUUAGUAAAAUAAAACUUAGCAAAGCCAGCAUGCUUUGGUGUGGCUAUACAAAUAUCCUUAAAUUAGGUUAAUAUUUUUUUAAAGUGAAAAUCUGAAGUUUUCUACUAUAAGAGUUGCAUUUUUGGGGACAUCCAUGAUCAGAGUGUUUCUGUGGGCUGCAGUAUACAGCGUUGUCGUGUGUUUUAUGUGUAACGAUUAAAGAAUGCAUAAUUUAAGAACUUUGCCUACUGGAUUUUGUCUUAUGGUUUUACCUGCUUUUGAACUUGUCAGAUUUGCGUGGCUAGAAAAAAAUUUGCCAGAGGCACUGACGCAGCAACUUGCUGUGAGAACGGGGAUAACAUCACGAAUAUAUUUUUACCUUCACAUCUUUACUAAACGCUUUCGUGUGUGUUUAAUAUUUUUUUAUCUCCUAUAAAUGGCGAUAUUGUUUUUAUUGCCAUUGUGAGUCAGAGGCAAUGACUAUGUUUAGAAUUCUUUUAUUGAUUGACGAUGAUUGUAAUAAUGAUAAUAAUGGCAGUGUGCAGUCAAAACAGGGCGAUGUGUGAAUCUAGGUAAACGCAUAAUAUAUUAUGUUGCAUAGUGUGCUUAAAAAAAACUUCAGGAAAAUUACCAAAAGUGAAAUGCUAAAUUUUGUCUUGGUUUAAACACGAAAUAUUGCAAACACCAGUUUAGUGCAUGAAUACAUUAUAGUGUGACUUAUUGGGGAGGUACAGACCGUUGGGCGUGAAGCCUCAUCACAGCCUUUUGAAAUGCUGUCGCCAUAAACAUGGAUCAUGUGAGUAGGUGAAAGUCAACGGGACAGGUUUGUCCUCGGGUCAAGGGUGUAUUUGUGGGUGGUGUCAAUGUGCGCUAGGACGGUAACUGUUCUGACUGUUGGUGAGCAUGGCAAUGGUGAAAGACGAUGUACUUCUUAAUAAAGAAAAAGAAAAAA
rnacentral:misc_RNA from 1 species